rnacentral:rRNA from 1 species
UAGAGUUUGAUCCUGGCUCAGAUUGAACGCUGGCGGCAGGCCUAACACAUGCAAGUCGAACGGUAACAGGAAGCAGCUUGCUGCUUCGCUGACGAGUGGCGGACGGGUGAGUAAUGUCUGGGAAACUGCCUGAUGGAGGGGGAUAACUACUGGAAACGGUAGCUAAUACCGCAUAACGUCGCAAGACCAAAGAGGGGGACCUUAGGGCCUCUUGCCAUCGGAUGUGCCCAGAUGGGAUUAGCUAGUAGGUGGGGUAACGGCUCACCUAGGCGACGAUCCCUAGCUGGUCUGAGAGGAUGACCAGCCACACUGGAACUGAGACACGGUCCAGACUCCUACGGGAGGCAGCAGAAGGG